GAAAGCCUGUCUCAGUUCGGAUUGGAGUCUGCAACCCGACUCCAUGAAGCUGGAUUCGCUAGUAAUCGCGCAUCAGCCACGGCGCGGUGAAUACGUUCCCGGGCCUUGUACACACCGCCCGUCAAGCCAUGGAAGCCGGGGGUGCCUGAAGUGCGCUGCCGCAAGGAGCGCCCUAGGGUAAAACCGGUGACUGGGGCUAAGUCGUAACAAGGUACC
rnacentral:rRNA from 1 species